AUUGAACGCUGGCGGCAUGCCUAACACAUGCAAGUCGAACGGUAACAGGUCUUCGGAUGCUGACGAGUGGCGAACGGGUGAGUAAUACAUCGGAACGUGCCCGAUCGCGGGGGAUAACGAAGCGCAAGCUUUGAUAAUACCUCAUACGAUCUACGGAUGAAAGCAGGGGACCGCAAGGCCUUGCGCGAACGGAGCGGCCGAUGGCAGAUUAGGUAGUUGGUGGGUUAAAAGCUUACCAAGCCGACGAUCUGUAGCUGGUCUGAGAGGACGACCCGCCACACUGGGACUGAGACACGGCCCAGACUCCUACGGGAGGCAGCAGUGGGGAAUUUUGGACAAUGGGCGAAAGCCUGAUCCAGCCAUGCCGCGUGCAGGAUGAAGGCCUUCGGAUUGUAAACUGCUUUUGUACGGAACGAACAGACUCUGGUUAAUACCUGGGGUCCAUGACGGUACCGUAAGAAUAAGCACCGGCUAACUACGUG
rnacentral:rRNA from 1 species